rnacentral:tRNA from 1 species
UCCCUAGUAGCUCAGUCAGUAAAGAAUCUGCCUGCAGUGCAGGAAACCCGGGUUCGAUCCCUGGGUUGGGAA